rnacentral:lncRNA from 1 species
GCAGCGCCCAGCGGGGCACCAGGGCUGGCUCUGCCCAAGGACGUGGGCUGGGCACGGGGCUUGGCACUUGGAGGGGGUGCAUUAGGCCAGGGUUGGGUUCUUUGCAUCAGCAAGGCAAACCACAAGCCUGGGUUGUGCUGGGACUUCAGAGCUCGGGGCCGUGAGAAGAUGUCAUCCCCACACCCAGGGCCUCAUGGAGGGCCGCCGCCGCCACAUCCCGGGCCUGGGCACCCACCCGCACCGCACAGUCCUCCAGGGCAUCACCACCCACCCGGCCAUCACCCGCCCGGCCAUCACCCGCCCGGCCAUCACCCACCCGGCCAUCACCCACCCGGCCAUCACCCACCCGGGCACCACCCGCCGGGCCCCC